rnacentral:rRNA from 1 species
UACGUAGGGGGCUAGCGUUGUCCGGAAUCAUUGGGCGUAAAGCGCGUGUAGGCGGUUCGGUAAGUCCGCUGUGAAAGUCGGGGGCUCAACCCUCGAAAGCCGGUGGAUACUGUCGGACUAGAGUGCGGAAGAGGCGAGUGGAAUUCCUGGUGUAGCGGUGAAAUGCGCAGAUAUCAGGAGGAACACCGGUGGCGAAGGCGGGUCUCUGGGCCGAUACUGACGCUGAGGAGCGAAAGCGUGGGGAGCAAACGGG